GUGGGCAUGGAAGGUGGGGUGUGCGUGGUUAAGGCCAUGGUGGAUCCAGAUUUGAGAGAUGAAGGGAGGUGAGGGCUGAGGGAAUCUUGAUGGAGAGGGGUGGGGAUCGGCACUCACUGACCUUGUUACUGUCCCCCACCUCUUCCAGGUACAUGGUUUUAUUGGGAGCUGUAGUGAUGGCCCCAGAUGACUCCAGUGGGGACUGGCCACCUGUGGGGGCCGGGGCCUCAGCCAGACUACCUUGGAGUGUACCCUGAGGCCAGGCUUGGUUUGCAAGGUGAACCCCAUCUUCCAUCACUGGAGCCUGGGUGAUUGCAAGUUUGGGCUGACGUUUCAGAGUCCGGCAGAGGCUAGUGAAUUCCAGAAGAGCCUGCUGGCCGCUCUGGCCGCGCUGGGUCGAGGCUCACUCACCCCCUCCUCCUCCUCCUCCUCUUCCUCCUCCCCUUCCCAGGACACUGCAGAGACCCCCUGCCCUCUGACGGUGAGUCCCCAGGCUGCAGAUCUGCUGGGAGGGCAGGGGGUGGCUUGUACUCUAGGAACAUUCUUGAGCACCUCUUGUGUGUUAGGCACAUGCCACUUACUUGGGCCCAGACUAUUCCUGUCAAUUCAAUCUCAGUUACUGUCAUUUUUUUUCUGUUCCAUCGUUAUUCACGUUUGUUCAAGAAUAUUGAGCCACCUACAAGCAUUGGUGGUUUAGGCACUGGUGAUACAUCAGUCACAAAAGAAAAGCCCUUCCUCAUCAUGGAGUUUCUAUUCUAGUGUGGAAAGGCAGAAAAAAAAUUUUAAAUGAUAAUAAAAUUAAUAAAUAUUAAAGGAAGUGAAUGAACAAAUGGAUGACAGGUCCUUCCUGUACUAUGAGACAUUCUGACACCUCUCUCUGUUUUGUUUUUUUUUUUUUUUUUGUGGGACCUUCGCCGGUGGCCGGGGAUUGAACUGGCUCUGCAGAGGCUGCGGGCAGCCUCGCAACCCAGCGCUCAACUGCUGUGCCACCAGGGGAGGCCCUGACAGCUCUCUCUGUUUAAAAUCUUUUUAAAAUUAUAUUUAUGUUUGUAUAGAAGAAGUAGGGUGUAGGCCAGAGAUGUGGAGAGGUGAGAGGAUUCACCAGAGAGAGAGUGGGGAGCAGAGCAGGCAGAUCUACUGAAAUACACUGCUGAGGGGAACAACAGGUAACCCAGAACAGGUCUGCUGUGCAACAUGUGGGUCAGCCAGGGAUGAACUCUACUCAGGCCUUAGUGGUUAUACUGCUGAGACUUAACCCCUAGGCCACCAGGGGCUCACUGUAGAGGAUAGCUUGGCCCUUCCUGGUGGCUGACCUGGUGACUGCCACCUCCCAGCAACUGCAGCCCAUUCUGCUCUGAAGGGCCCUGUGCCCUGGCUGGAAGGGGUGGGUCUAGUCUCUGGGCUGAUUCUUAGUGCUCCCCCUGGUGGUCCCCUUAGUGCAUUCCUAAUCCCUUCCCUCUCUUCUCUUGCCAUGCUCACUACUCACUCCUUACACCCAUUCAUGUGUUCAGCUGACUGCAGUCCUGUGAUCACACACACACUGAUAGUUUCUUUCUAGAGUUCUUCUGCAGGAGGGAAGUAAAGUGACCACAAACAAGGGCUUCUUUUCCCAAGUAGCACAGAGGCCCCCUGUGGGCCAGCCUGGCCCUUUUUUGACAGGUGCUUUUAUCUGGGCAUGGGCAUGGGCUUUGUUCACUCCUUGGGGUCUUUGGUUCUUUUCUUGAGUACCCACAUGGUAUCCCCUUUGCAUGGCACAGACAGAGGCUCAGAGAGAUGCUGGCAGCACCUCGGAAUAACCCAGAAGUUAGUAAGUGGUAAAGAAGGGACCUGACCCAGAGGCCUUGUUCUCACCCACUUUCCUCCUUACUCACCAGCAGACAGAACCUGGUACUCUGCCCUGCAACUCUGAAUGACCUAGGGCCAUGGAUGUUGUAAUAGCCUGAAUGCAGAUUACAUGAGAUAAUGUCUGUCAAGUAGAGAUAAGGGUGACUGACCCCAACACCCAAGAAGUGUUUUUGCACCAUUUGCCUUGUAAUCUUAGGAGGUCAGAGUUAAUAUUCUCAUUUUAGACCCAAUAAAUCCCUUCUAGAAAACUAAUCUGCAACAUAUUGUUAUAGCAAAGGGUCAGAAACAACUUAAUAUCCCUUAAUGGGAGUGCUCAGGUGACUUGUGCAGUGGAUUAAAAAAAAAAAAAUGUGGGGAGGUGGUCAAAGAUCUCCACAUACUAAUACGGAAUGGUCUCCGAAGUGUAUUUUAUUCUUUAGAGAAAAAAGGCACAGCACAAAACAGUGUUUGCACAGUAUUGGCCUGAAAGAGGCUAAGAAUAUAUUUCCCCGAUUGCUUUUAUUUGCAAAGAAAGUCUGGGCAGGACAGUACUCACUGCUCACUGUGGUCCGUUGAUCUUGGCAUGGAGGUGACACAGGACAGCUGGAGGGUGAGGACAGCAGUGAAACUUUUCUCUCUCUCUCUGUGUGUGUGUAAUCAUUGACUAUAUUACCCACCUAAAAUUUAAGUCUGAAAAAAGUCAAUGACUUUUAGUUUCCAAACAGACAGGGAAACAGAGGCAUUCCCAGCAGGAAUGUCACUGUUUUGUUGUCCCCUCAAGCUGUUCCAGUUUCAUGUCCCUUCCUCUUCUCACCCCUGUGUCACCAGAUCAUUAUUUGGAGGCCUUGGACUCUUUCUGGCUUCCCGUCUUGGAGAAAAUAUAGAACCUGGAAUAACUGAUAAACCGCGGGCUUUCGAUCUGCAAAUAUUAGAAGGAAGGAAAGGAACUGACACGUAGUAGGUGCUCCAGCAGAUUUUGUUGGAUGAACAAAGGUCUGGGCUUCUCUGGGAGGGGACCUGGGCUGGGGCUGGAAUCAAGAGGUUUGACCAGGAAGGUCAUUCAUUCAUUCAUUCAUUCACCUGCCACACUCCAGCACCACAGAGGGUGCUAAAAUUACAGCAGAGAACAAGAGGCAAAAUCCUGACCUUGUGAAGCUGCUGUUGAGUGGGGAGGAUGCAUUAGUUAGGGCUGCCAUAACAAAUAACCAUGGGGUGGGGGCGUUCUUUACUCCCUGUUCUGGCGGCCAGAAGUCCCCAGUCAGAGUUGGUUUUCCCUCUGGAGGUUCUGAGCCAGAACCUGUCCCUUGCCUCUUCUCCAGCUUUUGGUGGUUGUUGACAAUCCUUGGCUAGUAGACAAAUCAUUGUGA